GUGCUCGCUUUGGCAGCACGUAUGCUAAAACUGAAACGAUACAGAGAAGAUUAGCAUGGCCCCUGCUCAAUGAUGACAUGCAAAUUUGCAAAGUGUUCCAUAUUUUU